CAACAUUGUCUAUGCCAACCCAUGCUACGCUGGCUGCUCGGCAAAGUAUAGCAAUAAAACGUUUGGAAGUUGCUCUUGCAUUGCUGGUGAUGCUACCAAUACAAAUACUGCAAGACAAGGUUACUGCGAUCGUGAUUGUAAGAAUCUGGCCAUCUUUCUAUUUCUCAUCACUUUCACGAUGCUUUUAAGAUUUGCAGCCGCCGUUCCAUCGCAAACUGUCAUUCUGAGAUGCGUUCCGGACAACAAAAGGGCUUUUUCAAUGGGAAUACAAUAUGUUAUGCUGAAGACAAUCGGCCUAAUUCCGGGUCCAAUAAUUUUUGGUCAUCUAUUGGACCUUUGCUGCCGAUUGUGGCAA